rnacentral:tRNA from 1 species
GGUGCAUUCGAAUAGUUGGUUAAUUCGCCACCCUCUCAAGGUGGAAAUCCGGAGUUCGAGCCUCCGAUGCACUACCA